rnacentral:rRNA from 1 species
GAUGAACGCUGGCGGCGUGCCUAAUACAUGCAAGUCGAGCGAACAGACGAGGAGCUUGCUCCUCUGACGUUAUCGGCGGACGGGUGAGUAACACGUGGAUAACCUACCUAUAAGACUGGGAUAACUUCGGGAAACCGGAGCUAAUACCGGAUAAUAUAUUGAACCGCAUGGUUCAAUAGUGAAAGACGGUUUUGCUGUCACUUAUAGAUGGAUCCGCGCCGCAUUAGCUAGUUGGUAAGGUAACGGCUUACCAAGGCGACGAUGCGUAGCCGACCUGAGAGGGUGAUCGGCCACACUGGAACUGAGAAACGGUCCAGACUCCUACGGGAGGCAGCAGUAGGGAAUCUUCCGCAAUGGGCGAAAGCCUGACGGAGCAACGCCGCGUGAGUGAUGAAGGUCUUCGGAUCGUAAAACUCUGUUAUUAGGGAAGAACAAAUGUGUAAGUAACUAUGCACGUCUUGACGGUACCUAAUCAGAAAGCCACGGCUAACUACGUG